UACGUAGGGGGCAAGCGUUGUCCGGAUUUAUUGGGCGUAAAGAGCGUGUAGGCGGCCAUGCAGGUCAGCUGUGAAACUCGAGGCUCAACCUCGAGACGUCGGUUGAAACCGCAUGGCUAGAGUCCGGAAGAGGAGAGUGGAAUUCCCGGUGUAGCGGUGAAAUGCGCAGAUAUCGGGAAGAACACCCGUGGCGAAGGCGGCUCUCUGGGACGGUACUGACGCUGAGAAGCGAAAGCAUGGGGAGCGAACGAGG
rnacentral:rRNA from 1 species